rnacentral:rRNA from 1 species
UAAUACGUAGGUCCCGAGCGUUGUCCGGAUUUAUUGGGCGUAAAGCGAGCGCAGGUGGUUUAUUAAGUCUGGUGUAAAAGGCAGUGGCUCAACCAUUGUAUGCAUUGGAAACUGGUAGACUUGAGUGCAGGAGAGGAGAGUGGAAUUCCAUGUGUAGCGGUGAAAUGCGUAGAUAUAUGGAGGAACACCGGUGGCGAAAGCGGCUCUCUGGCCUGUAACUGACACUGAGGCUCGAAAGCGUGGGGAGCAAACAGGAUUAGAUAC